rnacentral:rRNA from 1 species
AUUGAACGCUGGCGGAAUGCUUUACACAUGCAAGUCGAACGGUAGAGGGGGCAACCCCUCGAGAGUGGCGAACGGGUGAGUAAUAUAUCGGAACGUGCCCAGUCGUGGGGGAUAACGUAGCGAAAGUUACGCUAAUACCGCAUACGAUCUAAGGAUGAAAGCGGGGGAUCGCAAGACCUCGCGCGAUUGGAGCGGCCGAUAUCAGAUUAGGUAGUUGGUGGGGUAAAGGCCCACCAAGCCAACGAUCUGUAGCUGGUCUGAGAGGACGACCAGCCACACUGGAACUGAGACACGGUCCAGACUCCUACGGGGGCAGCAGUGGGGAAUUUUGGACAAUGGGCGAAAGCCUGAUUCAGCCAUUCCGCGUGCAGGAUGAAGGCCCUCGGGUUGUAAACUGCUUUUGUACAGAACGAAAAGGUUUCUACUAAUACUAGGAGCUCAUGACGGUACUGUAAGAAUAAGCACCGGCUAACUACGUGCCAGCCGCCGCAGUAA